AGUGAACGCUGGCGGUAGGCCUAACACAUGCAAGUCGAACGGCAGCACAGUAAGAGCUUGCUCUUACGGGUGGCGAGUGGCGGACGGGUGAGGAAUACAUCGGAAUCUACUUUUUCGUGGGGGAUAACGUAGGGAAACUUACGCUAAUACCGCAUACGACCUACGGGUGAAAGCAGGGGAUCUUCGGACCUUGCGCGAUUGAAUGAGCCGAUGUCGGAUUAGCUAGUUGGCGGGGUAAAGGCCCACCAAGGCGACGAUCCGUAGCUGGUCUGAGAGGAUGAUCAGCCACACUGGAACUGAGACACGGUCCAGACUCCUACGGGAAGCAGCAGUGGGGAAUAUUCGACAAUGGGCGCAAGCCUGAUCCAGCCAUACCGCGUGGGUGAAGAAGGCCUUCGGGUUGUAAAGCCCUUUUGUUGGGAAAGAAAAGCAGCAGGUUAAUACCCCGCUGUUCUGACGGUACCCAAAGAAUAAGCACCGGCUAACUUCGUG
rnacentral:rRNA from 1 species